rnacentral:rRNA from 1 species
AGACAGCAGUAGCCACGGUAAUACGUAGGGUGCGAGCGCUAAUCGGAAUUACUGGGCGUAAAGUGUGCGCAGGCGGUUCGUUAAGACAGAUGUGAAAUCCCCGGGCUUAACCUGGGAACUGCAUUUGUGACUGGCGAGCUAGAGUAUGGCAGAGGGGGGUAGAAUUCCACGUGUAGCAGUGAAAUGCGUAGAGAUGUGGAGGAAUACCGAUGGCGAAGGCAGCCCCCUGGGCCAAUACUGACGCUCAUGCACGAAAGCGUGGGGAGCAAACAGGAUUAGAUACCCCGGUAGUCCCUGUCUCUUAUAA